UGCCAGCAGCCGCGGUAAUACGGAGGGUACGAACGUUAAUCGGAAUUACUGGGCGUAAAGCGCGCGUAGGUGGUUUGUUAAGUGGGAUGUGAAAGCCCCGGGCUCAACCUGGGAAUUGCAUUCCAAACUGACAAACUAGAGUACGAUAGAGGGAGGUAGAAUUCAGAGUGUAGCGGUGAAAUGCGUAGAUAUUCUGAGGAAUACCGGUGGCGAAGGCGGCCUCCUGGAUUGAUACUGACGGCUGAGGUACGAAAGUGUGGGGAGCAAACAGGAUUAGAUA
rnacentral:rRNA from 1 species